AUGUUAGCGGCGGACGGGUGAGUAACACGUGGGUAACCUACCUAUAAGACUGGGAUAACUCCGGGAAACCGGGGCUAAUACCGGAUAAUAUUUUGAACCGCAUGGUUCAAUAGUGAAAGACGGUUUCGGCUGUCACUUAUAGAUGGACCCGCGCCGUAUUAGCUAGUUGGUAAGGUAACGGCUUACCAAGGCGACGAUACGUAGCUGACCUGAGAGGGUGAUCGGCCACACUGGAACUGAGACACGGUCCAGACUCCUACGGGAGGCAGCAGAA
rnacentral:rRNA from 1 species